GAUGAAGAAUGCAGCGAAAUGCGAUAAGUAAUGUGAAUUGCAGAAUUCAGUGAAUCAUCGAAUCUUUGAACGCACAUUGCGCCCGCCAGUAUUCUGGCGGGCAUGCCUGUUCGAGCGUCAUUAUAACCCCUCAAGCUCAGCUUGGUGUUGGGGCCUGCUGCACUGGCAGCCCUUAAAAUCAGUGGCGGCGCCAUCUGGCUCUAAGCGUAGUAAUUCUUCUCGCUAUGGAGUCCUGGUGGAUGCUUGCCAUCAACCCCCAAUUUUUCUAUGGUUGACCUCGGAUCAGGUAGGGAUACCCGCUGAACUUAAGCAUAUCAAUAAGCGGAGGA
rnacentral:misc_RNA from 1 species